ACAAGUGUGACAUCAGCGGUCAUGGAGAGUCUCCAUCCAGCUGGAUCACUGUCACAGACAAACACACCACCACACCUCCACCUACAUCCACACCUCCUCCUGGUUCCACCUCUCCUCCAUUACUCUCUCAUCCUGGCUCCAUCGCCAGCCUUGGUUCCCCUCUCAUACCUGUGUUGUCAUGUGUUGGAUCAGUCUGUGUUUUGCUUCUACUGGUGUUACUGGUUCUGCUGGUGAGACGAUGUGUUCGCAGGAAACUUGAAGCAGAAGAAAACACGACAUACUGCAACAUCAAAACAUCACACUGUCAAAAUCAACCAAACAAGAAAUGCAGAGACUUUAAACCAGAGCCAGACGUCGCCGACUCUUCGCUAAAGUAGUCCACCAGUCCAACCACUGGUGGCCCAGCUGCUGGUCUCUAACUGGUCCACCCCCCACCCCCCAGCACCUCAGACAAGGAGACAUCCACAAGUUCAAAAGAUUACUCUGAUAUUUACAUAUUUUUUUAUUUAGUCUCAUAUGCUUUAAAAAUCACAAGUUUAACUGGAAUUUUAGUACUUAAAAUAAACAAUGAUAAUAAAGUCACACUAUGAGUUUGGCACUGUUUCCCACACUAGUGAUUUUGUUUCACUGUAGGAUUAAUAAAAUUAUUUACUUGAUGACUCUGGCCCUAAACUAGUUAUCAGUCCUUAUAUGAGUCCUAAAUAUAACCCACAAAGAAUUUUCACAAUAAAAGUCCUUUAUACUGUCACACAUUGGGUUAUGCCAUUUUUUAAAAAAUAUUGUUGUUUUUUUUUUAACAAAUGACCCCAGUGACCUUAUAGUUUGUCAUUUAGAUUCAGCGGACUAACAAACUGUUUCACUUUUAUUAAAGCUUCACUUUACUAUUUACAGAUGAACAUCAUGUGGAGUUAAUGUAAAUCAUUUCGUAUCAAAUGAAUUCAAUCUGUUUUAUCAUCUGAAGGACCAAAAGCUGUCAGACUUUAUCUGACACAAUAUAAAGAAGAAAAUGACCUCAAUCACAAAAAGGAAAUGUACUCAGUUACUCUCCUGUACUCUGAUUACAGUCAUGUGAUUUCCAGGAAGUGCUGCAGCAGCUGCAUGCUCUCUCUCCCUGCAAACUGUUUGCUGCUGCUCAUCUUUUCCAUGUUUUCUCUGUGUGUGUUUCUGCUGCUUCUUUGUCCUCACUGUAAACAGAUGUACUGAGAGACUCCUGCACUGAUGUUUCAUAGGAAAGUCUAAACAGCCUCACUGGUUCUCAGUCUCGUUCAUCAAAGUUCUAAAUACAGAAUCAAGUGAAUAUAAACUUCACCCUCAGUUAAAAUUACUUUUAUUAAGAACAGCACUUCCUCAGUAUUACUAUGAAAGCAUUAUUGAUGAUCUGCUUGUAUCCAUGUUAGUAUUUAAAGUCAAACCUCUCUCUCUAG